UACGAGUGCCCCGAGCGUUAUCCGGAAUUAUUGGGCGUAAAGGGUGUGUAGGCGGUAGUGUUAGUCUUCUGUCAAAUUCUUCGGCUUAACCGGGGGCAUGCAGAGGAAACGGCACAACUAGAGGAUGCGAGAGGUGAAUGGAACUCAUGGAGUAGGGGUGAAAUCCGUUGAUAUCAUGGGGAACACCAAAAGCGAAGGCAAUUCACUGGCGCACUCCUGACGCUGAAACACGAAAGCGUAGAUAGCGAAUGGG
rnacentral:rRNA from 1 species